AAAAUCCUUACAUGCAAAUGCCAUCAAAAGGACUUUUCCAAGGCUUGUAAUGAGGCUGGGUUAGCAAGAAAAAUGGGUUUUUCUGGAAUGCAAAAUCCUUGAGUUAAGAGAGCUUUCAUAAUAUUUACAUUUAAACACAACUCUCCUCCUCACCAACUUCACUUUUCCCAACUUCUUCCCUUUUCUUUUGCAUUGAGCUCUCUUUCAUGCUUUUUCUUCUUUUCUUUUCUUUUUCUCAUGCAUUUUUCUUUCUCAACAAUCAAGCUCAAUGCUUUUCUAUUUUUCCCAAACAACCCCAAACUUGAACCUUUCCAUUGCAUACAAUUAAGCUCAUCCCAACUCAAGGUAAAGAAUUUCAAGACAAGGGUUUACAUCCUGUUUAAGCCUAAGGUUCAAAAAGGGUAU
rnacentral:lncRNA from 1 species